rnacentral:tRNA from 15 species
GGAAGGUAAUCGCGCCCGGUGGCGCGGCCGGGCUUCAAACCCGGUUGGGGACGGCAUCCGUUCCCGGGCAGGUUCGACUCCGGCUACCUUCCGCCA